rnacentral:rRNA from 1 species
AGAGUUUGAUCCUGGCUCAGGACGAACGCUGGCGGCGCGCCUAACACAUGCAAGUCGAACGAGAGAGAGGGAGCUUGCUUCCUCAAUCGAGUGGCGAACGGGUGAGUAACGCGUGAGGAACCUGCCUCAAAGAGGGGGACAACAGUUGGAAACGACUGCUAAUACCGCAUAAGCCCACGGCUCGGCAUCGAGCAGAGGGAAAAGGAGCAAUCCGCUUUGAGAUGGCCUCGCGUCCGAUUAGCUAGUUGGUGAGGUAACGGCCCACCAAGGCGACGAUCGGUAGCCGGACUGAGAGGUUGAACGGCCACAUUGGGACUGAGACACGGCCCAGACUCCUACGGGAGGCAGCAGUGGGGAAUAUUGCACAAUGGGGGAAACCCUGAUGCAGCGACGCCGCGUGGAGGAAGAAGGUCUUCGGAUUGUAAACUCCUGUUGUUGAGGAAGAUAAUGACGGUACUCAACAAGGAAGUGACGGCUAACUACGUGCCAGCAGCCGCGGUAAAACGUAGGUCACAAGCGUUGUCCGGAAUUACUGGGUGUAAAGGGAGCGCAGGCGGGAAGACAAGUUGGAAGUGAAAUCUAUGGGCUCAACCCAUAAACUGCUUUCAAAACUGUUUUUCUUGAGUAGUGCAGAGGUAGGCGGAAUUCCCGGUGUAGCGGUGGAAUGCGUAGAUAUCGGGAGGAACACCAGUGGCGAAGGCGGCCUACUGGGCACCAACUGACGCUGAGGCUCGAAAGUGUGGGUAGCAAACAGGAUUAGAUACCCUGGUAGUCCACACCGUAAACGAUGAUUACUAGGUGUUGGAGGAUUGACCCCUUCAGUGCCGCAGUUAACACAAUAAGUAAUCCACCUGGGGAGUACGACCGCAAGGUUGAAACUCAAAGGA